rfam:Oryza punctata chromosome 6, whole genome shotgun sequence.
UUUAAGUGCAGCUAUAAGUUUCCAUAUCCAACUUUGAUCGUUCGUCUUAUUUAAAUAUUUUAUGAUUAUUAUUUUUUAUUUUUAGGUAAUAAAACAUAAAUAGUACUUUAUACGUGACUUGUGUUUUUUUAAUUUUUUUCAAAAAAAAUUUAAAUAAGACGGACGAUUAAAGUUGGACACAUAAACUCAUGCAUGGUUGCGCUUAAA